UUGUUUUUAUUCCUUUCCCUCUCAAUUCCUAGCCUACACUCUCUAAAUCUCACACAACCACUCCUCCACAACCCUCUCCCCUAAUGAUCGAACAGCCGGCCACCGCUAGUGGUGGCGGCGCACGGCAAGUGAGAGAGAGAAAGAGAGCCGCAAGUGAGAGAGAGACGCGGAGAGAGAGUCGGGGAGAAAGAUUGGAAGGCGACGGUGGCUCCGGCAACGACGGUUUUUAGUGCGGUCUCGGGCCUCGAGUCUGGAUUUCCGGUGUUGGUUUCAGUUCGGGUUCGGGUCACGUUCAGUUCAGUAUUGCUUGGCGUCGUUCAUGGUUCCGGUUUUCGAUUCAAGAUUUGAUUCGGGUUCGGGUGCUACGGGUCAGACUCGAGCUUCGGUUCAGCAGGUUCGGGUCCGGUUCAGUCUACGUCGAGUCAACGGGACAGUCGGUUCGGAUUAGAGACGGUUAACUAGUCGGGCCAACCCGGUCAGAUGUCACCGAAGCCGUACGGAGAUCACCACGGGAACCCUCUCAUCAUCAUUCGGAUAAACCGUUCGUUCGCUCUUUUGGAUUUUUCUCCAUCUUUACUCGUGCGAUAAUUCAAGAAAUCUUCGUACGCAACCAAUAGCAUUGGCGUGACUGGACUGGUAUCUUCAUUGCACAGCGGAAGCAAAAUAAUUUAAGUCUUUUAGAAAUUGAACGCCCACUAAGUACUCGACUCUUCAUGGUCCUCCUAUUCCAACCGUGCCUUGUCUUAGAAAUGCAACCUGAGAAAGAGCAUGCGAAAAAGUCAACAUAAAGUUGAGCGAGUUCAUAGUUUGUUUGUAAAAGAUCUGAAAUAAAUCUUUUGAGUUGUGAAAGGUUUGAAAUAAAUCUUUGGUAACCGGUUUUUGAAAUAGUAUUGAGAAAAUGAAUUUAAAAAUCAUUUUCUUGCCAAGUUAUAUGGAAACGUUGUGUUUGUAACACGUUAUGUUCAUAAAACCAUGUAUUUGUAAAGCCUUGUCUUU
rnacentral:lncRNA from 1 species